UUACACCUCAACUCGGGUAGGACUACCCGCUGAACUUAAGCAUAUCAAUAAGCGGAGGA
rnacentral:rRNA from 1 species